rnacentral:misc_RNA from 1 species
UAGGAGGAAGAGCUCCAUGCCCUGCAAACAUGGCACUCAUCAAGUUAAAGAUCCAAUAUUGUAUUCUAUGGAGAAAACAAUUCAUAAUUGUUUCAAGUUUGAAGAAUAAUACUUCACAUCCUCAAAGCAUUGGAACCAUGCUGUUGGGACUGGGGCUUGCAUAUUAUAAACAAAGCAUCUAAUGAUCAAGAAAAAUGUUUAGGAACAUUCAAGUCAUAAAUAUAACCAUGAAGAAGCCAAGUUCUACAUGUAAUUGGUAAAGCUUGUAUGAUACUGGAAUUUAAUUGCCACAACCAUUUGACAGUGAAGUUGCCAUUUUCAA